rnacentral:misc_RNA from 1 species
GGAAGUAAAAGCGUAACAAGGUUUCCGUAGGUGAACCUGCGGAAGGAUCAUUAAAAAAUCUUUUGAGCCGCAAGGCUCUGCUAUUUUGUGAAACGUCGUGUCAUAUAAGAAGCGCUGUGUGUUGUGCGCGAGGAGUUACCGAGAGGCGACCCCGUGCGUGCGCGCAGUCUUUUUUAUGUCAUCAUUAUAUAUUGUUAAAACGUGUGUACAUAUGAGAAUAGUCGCGGAAAUAACGUUGUAAAUAAUGUAUAAACAACUUUCAACAGUGGAUCUCUCGGCUCUU